UAACGUUUAUUCCAUCCUCAAAAAUUAAACCAUCCAUCAUCUAAUUGUUAUCGACCAUCGAUCAACGCAAACCAAAACCAUGAGCAGCAGCAGCAACAGCCACCAAUUCGAUCACGAUUAUGCAGCGAAAGGGCCGCACAUGGUAGCGCCUCCUCCGCCUGCGGGGUAUCCGACGGCGGCCGGCGACGCUCAAGUCCGGCGGCGCAAGCGUCAUAACACCAAAAGCAGAGGUGAUGGAUUCUGGAAAGGGUGCUGUGCAGCAUUGUGCUGCUGUUGGGUGUUAGAUGUGUGCUGCUAAUUCAUUAUUGGCCAUCAUUUAUUAUUAGGAUUGUUUUCCAGCAUAUUAUAUGUAUGUAUGUAGUAUAGGCUCAUGUUUUUUAAUGUAAUGUACUAGUGGCUCUUUGCAGAAUUCUUGUAACAAUAAAUAAAUAAUUCAUCCAUUUUAUUUAAAAUAUGACUCAUUGUUUUCAA